UACGUAGGGUGCAAGCGUUAAUCGGAAUUACUGGGCGUAAAGCGUGCGCAGGCGGUGAUGUAAGACAGGUGUGAAAUCCCCGGGCUUAACCUGGGAACUGCAUUUGUGACUGCAUCGCUGGAGUGCGGCAGAGGGGGAUGGAAUUCCGCGUGUAGCAGUGAAAUGCGUAGAUAUUGGGAGGAACACCGGUGGCGAAGGCGGCCCCCUGGACCGGUACUGACGCUGAGGCGCGAAAGCGUGGGUAGCAAACGGG
rnacentral:rRNA from 1 species